ACAAACUUGGUCAUUUAGAGGAAGUAAAAGUCGUAACAAGGUUUCCUUCCUUGAAGCCUUGUCUCACAGCCUGCGUGCAGGCUAUACCCGUAUCUUGCUGGGAUGGCCACCUAGGUGCUCCAACCAGCAGCCGUAUCGAUCAAUUCCGAUGCGGUCCACAGGUCAAUCACGGGUGGCCCGGCCGGAUGCCCCGGCUGGGUUAAGCUAUGAUCGGUCCCCGAAGUGUUUCGCAAGGAUAAGACGUUCCGUAGGUGAACCUGCGGAAGGAUCAUUAUCAGUUGGCUGGGUUCACGCCCAAAAGCCUCCAUCCCAUGUGUAUCUACUCUGUUGCUUUGGCGGGCCAGGGCUCUCCGGGCGGCUUCUAGCUGCCUCGUGCCCGCCGGAGACUCAACUAAACUCGUUAUAACAGUGACGUCUGAUGGAUAAUAAAUAGCUAAAACUUUCAACAACGGAUCUCUUGGUUCUGGCAUCGAUGAAGAACGCAGC
rnacentral:misc_RNA from 1 species